rnacentral:rRNA from 1 species
UACGAAGGGGGCUAGCGUUGCUCGGAAUCACUGGGCGUAAAGCGCACGUAGGCGGAUUGCUAAGUCAGGGGUGAAAUCCUGGAGCUCAACUCCAGAACUGCCUUUGAUACUGGCGACCUUGAGUCCGGGAGAGGUGAGUGGAACUGCGAGUGUAGAGGUGAAAUUCGUAGAUAUUCGCAAGAACACCAGUGGCGAAGGCGACUCACUGGCCCGG